rnacentral:rRNA from 1 species
AUUGAACGCUGGCGGCAGGCCUAACACAUGCAAGUCGAACGAGUGGCGGACGGGUGAGUAAUGUCUGGGAAACUGCCUGAUGGAGGGGGAUAACUACUGGAAACGGUAGCUAAUACAGCAUAACAUCAGAUGUGCCCAGAGGGUCUGAGCUAGUUGGUGGGGUAACGGCUCACCAAGGCUACGAUCCCUAGCUGGUCUGAGAGGAUGACCAGUCAUACGGGAACUGUGACCCGGUCCAGACUCCGACGGGAGGCAGCAGUGGGGAAGAGUGCACAAUGGGCGCAAGCCUGAUGCAGCCAUGCCGCGUGUAUGAAGAAGGCCUUCGGGUUGUAAAGUACUUUCAGCGGGGAGGCGUUACCCGCAGAAGAAGCACCGGCUAACUCCGUGCCAGCAGCCGCGGUAAUAC